UCAUCUGGACGGCAGAUC
rnacentral:snRNA from 1 species